rnacentral:rRNA from 1 species
AUUGAACGCUGGCGGCAUGCCUUACACAUGCAAGUCGAACGGUAACGGGCCUUCGGGUGCCGACGAGUGGCGAACGGGUGAGUAAUGCAUCGGAACGUACCUUUCAGUGGGGGAUAACGUAGUGAAAGUUACGCUAAUACCGCAUAUUCUGUGAGCAGGAAAGCAGGGGAUCGCAAGACCUUGCGCUGAUUGAGCGGCCGAUGUCAGAUUAGCUAGUUGGUGAGGUUAAAGGCUCACCAAGGCGACGAUCUGUAGCGGGUCUGAGAGGAUGAUCCGCCACACUGGAACUGAGACACGGUCCAGACUCCUACGGGAGGCAGCAGUGGGGAAUUUUGGACAAUGGGGGCAACCCUGAUCCAGCCAUGCCGCGUGAGUGAAGAAGGCCUCGGUUGUAAGG